GGAGCACCGGUGAGUCGUAGAAUUGAUCCCGUAGUGGAUCAUGGGUUAAUUGCGUGCUCCAGGUUCCAGGUUGUCGGUGUUCAUUCGGAGCGGACUUGAUCUUCCUCGCUGUUUUACUUCGUGAAGUACCCUGUUAUUCUUUUAUUGCAGUUGUAAUAUUUCUUUCACUCUUGUUGUAUUUAUUUUGCACUGGAUUACUGUAUUUAUUUUUUUUAAGUGCUGCAAUUUGUGGAACCAAUUUGUAGUUUGUGGGAGGAAUAAGGGGAUAUUUUUGAAGUGUGUUUUCAGUGCAGGUAAAUUUGUGGUAAGUAAAUCCCUUAGAGGAGGUGCUGCCGGAUUUUCCGUUGGAAGGUUCGGUGGUAUUUCCCUGGGAUCAGGGCUGUCUAGGGUUCCGGAGGAGGAAUUCUGGACGGGUCCUGACAGUUGGUAUCAGAGCUCUAGGUUCUAGUAUUUCGAAGGGACUGUGCAUUGUUGUGCAUCCUAUCCGUGUUUAAUCUCUCGUUUUACCCGUGUGAAAGCUUUCUUUCCGUUUGUCUCGAAGUAAAUUCGUUGCCCGAGUUUGAAUAACUCUAAUCUUCGAGGGUGUCAAUUAGGAUCAUCUAGCCUAACGGGGAAUUCCUAUGGCCUAGUCGAUGGUCGAGGAUGCCUUUUCUUUUUGAAGGUCAAGCUUAUCAUCGUGAAUGGUAUCCGUUUCGUUCAUGGAGAAGAAUGAUGAUUGCCUAAGGAUGUGUGUCGAUCGAUUUCAAGGCGUCAAAAUAUUUUCCCGAUCGAUUAUCAAAAUUUAAAUGCUUUUCAAGGUGUUUUAUUCAAGUAUUUUUGGUUUGUGUUCAUACAUGUAUCUGUAUGUUAUAUUGUUUGAUAUUAUACUGCACCAUAUGGAGGCGGCGAACCAAUGUGGUCCAUGUAGAGCUAGCCCCAUGAUCAUGUUGCCUACGAGCCCGGGAAAUUGGACGGCCAAUAUAGGCAACCACCCUGGUUUGUAUUGGUAGCAGAGUGUCGGCGACAGUUGGAAUCAUGGAUUACGUAACAUGUAGAAGGUGUCGUACGUACCUCCAUUACAAGCGUGCAUAUUUUAUUUUAUGCUAUGGAUUUUAAGAUAUGAAUUUCAAUGUGGAGUUUUAACAAUUGCCUAUGCAAGUUAGGUAUAUUUGAAAAAUAUAUUUUAUUAUUUGUUUAUUGUUAUGGUUUUUCCAAAAGCGACUUAAGGUUAAGUAUCGCCAAUUAAGAAUCCAAAGCAGGGUAUCGUUGAGUUCAAAAAGGAGAUCUUAAAGGAAGCACGUGAUUCAAAGUAUGCGAUACACCCCAAGGGUACCAAGACGUAUGGAAUGCUCACUGGAUGACAUGGUGGUUUGGCACGAUAAAGGAAGUUGCAAGAUCCGAAUAAAGGUACUUAAGUCACCGACAAGUAAAGUAGGGAGAUGUAAACAUGGAUUUCGUGCUUAAACUAUCAUUCACAAAGAGAAGGUACGAUAGCGUUUAGAGAAUCAAGCAAGCUCCGGAUAGCGACUAAAGUUCUACUUGGUGGUUGAUGAGGUUAAUGAGAUGAGGAUGAUUCCUUAGGCAUGGUUGGAUGUUUAAGCAUGGUUAUUUUCAUUCUAGAAGCUAAGAUCUUGAUAUUUUAUUUCCUUGGAGAUUUAAGGUUCGUAUUGAUGGUGCUUCAUCGAUUCAAGGUGGUUGAUAUUGUUGGUGAUAAUUUACAAUGAUAAGGAGUAUGAUUUUUGGGACGGAGUUAGAAUUUAAGAAGUGUGGGUUAAGGAUCUAGUGAUUUGUUCAUAGUAUUGGUGGUGAUGCUAGAAUUAAGAUUUAAAUUUCUUAUUGCUUGAGGUGUGGAUUCAUGGAAUUUAUUUGAAAUGAGGGAAACUUAGGGUUUUCAAGAAUGGUAUUUGGAUGUUGAGAAUUUUAUUCAUGACCUUGAUGAAUUUAGUUAAAAGAAAGAUUGAUGUUUGUCGAGGUUAAGACUAUUGGUUAAUCAAUGAGGAGCAAGGGUUUUAUAAUUGUAAGUACUAGGAGGGUAAUCGAAGACAAGUGAAUUAAUCUCAACCUUAACUUGGUGAUACCAGUAUUUGAGGAAAUUAGACUUAAGUUCUAAUCUUACCUUUUGGAUUGCUGAUCGAGUUACGAGAGUUGGUUGUUGGUUUAAGGAUGCAUGCUUUAGAAGCACCUUAUGGUUAGCGUUCGACUAUGACCAAGACUUGUAGAUCGUGUUCUCGUGGACCAAUUUGACUAUCCUUAAUUAGUGGGCAUGAGAAGGAAAGUUGCACAAGAGGGAAGUUAAAGUCACUAUUAGGCGAAUGUAGUGGCAGAUGCUUUGAGUAGGAAGGCUACUGGAUCCCUUGCUCACAUCCAAGUCAUCCAACUACCUCUCAUGGUGGAGUUGAAGAAGAUGGGGGUGUUAAUGCAUAUGCAUCCUUUAGGAGUUCUCAUGGCUAGCUUCCAGGUACGACCGGUGUUGGUGGAUCGUAUAGUAGAGACCCAAAUGGAAGAUCCUAAGUUGAGGACAAUUAAGGGCAAGGUACAAGAAGGUCUUGAUCCGGAAUUUUCCAUAAGGAGGGAUGGAGCCCUCGUGUAUAAAGGACGACUUUGUGUUCCGGAUAUUCUAGGACUCAAGAAGGAGAUUUUAGAGGAGGCGCAUAGCUCGAUGUAUGCGAUGCAUCCGGGAAGUACCAAGAUGUACCGGACGCUUGUUAAGUAUUAUUGGUGGAUUGGUAUGAAGAGAGAAGUGGCAGACUUCGUAUCAAAGUGUUUGAUUUGUCAACAAGUGAAAGCAGAAAGACAGAAGCCUUCGGGACUACUCCAACCUUUACCGAUUCCCGUGUGGAAGUGGGAAGAACUCAACAUGGACUUCGUAUUCAAGCUUCCUUCCACACCUAGAAGGUACGACGGCAUUUGGGUAAUCAUUGAUCGUCUCACCAAGUCGGCACACUUCCUACCGGUGCGAGAACGUUUUUCACCCGAGAAGUUAGCCCAGUUGUUCGUGCAAGGCAUACGUGGGAUCAGUUCAAGAUGGCCUUUUCUACUGAGUUUUGUCCUCCUGCCUACCGUGAAGCAAGAAGGAGAGAGUUCGAAGAACUACGACAGGGGAACAUGACGGUGACAGAGUACGAGAGGAGAUUCCGAGAACUAUCAGAAUUCUACAUGCACCUAAUUCCCGACGAUCACACGAAGAAGGGAUGCAGCGCUCGAGCUAGAGAGACAGGAGGAGAUACACAGACCCUCAAGGCGCAGAUCUUUCGAAGGUUCGUAUAGCGGAGUACCUCGACAGGGGGCAGCUAAGAAAGGCCAUAGCUCAGGCUCAGACAAUGAUGGGUUAAGCCCACGAGGCAGAUUCCAGAGGAGAGAUAGUUAUCGCAUGCCCCAGCCAGCUCGCCAUUCGAUCAGUGUGGAUGCAAGCUUGUAUCAGCAGUCACGCAUUAGUUCUCCGCGGAUUUGUCCACUUUGUAGGGGGAAUCAUUCUGGGCAGUGUCAGAUGGAUGGUUUAUGCUUUCGGUGUGGGCAGCCAGGCCACAUAAGGAGGGAUUGCCCUUAUGGUAGCAGCAGUGUGCUAGAAGCAGGUCGACGGACACAGCAUACGGGGAUAUUUCCAGGACAGAGUUCCCAGGGGAGUCAGCCAGUAGGAGUUUCUUCGGGAUCAGUACAGCCGUCUGCAGGAUCGAGUCGAGGUAGAGGAAGGAGACCCCAGCAGACAAGUCAAGGCCGGGUGUUUGCUAUGACGCAGCAGGGAGCCAGGACUACGCCCGACGAUUUCACAGAUCAAGGGAUGGAAACAGACCUGAUCCUGUUGGAUCUAUCCGGACUUGAAGUAGUGUUGGGCAUGGAUUGGUUGGCAAGGAACCACUUGGUCGAGGAAGCAACGUGGGAACCCGAAGCACAGAUGCGUGAGCAGUACCCGUAUCUGUUCCAGUGACGUGCGGAAAUUUCGAGGACGAAAUUUUUGUAAGGGGGGAAGGCUGUAACACCCCGUCCCGAAUCGCACCGGAAUCCGUGCACGUUGACCGAGGUUGACUGUUGACCGUUGACCAAAGGGGUCAAAAGUUGACUUUUUGACUCGGUGGGAAUUUCGAGAUGACUAGGGCACCGUGGCGAAGUGCACGAUGCCACGAGUUCGUAGACUGGUAGCACGUCGAAAACGGAGCUACGGUUUGAAAGUUAUGGACGAAACAAGUUGCGGUCCAAACUGUCCAAGGGGUGCCGGAGUUGACUUUUUGUUUAUGGGGAAUUGAGCUUUGACUCAUACAUGGUUGUGAAGUGCUCGUCGAUACGAGUUCACAGACUAGCGGCACGCUCAAAACGGACAUCCGGUUAAAAAGUUAUGGACGUUUGAAGUUUACCGGAUACCGUAUUAUUUUAAUGUUUUUGGGUCGUGAACAGUGAAAUGCCACGUGUCAGCUUCUGAGUGGUCCACGUGGCAUGAACAGUGUCACACAGGGUUUUAAUUUUGAAAAACUCUCGGGGAAGAGAGAGAAAGAGAGAGAAGAGAGAGAAAGAGAGAGAGGAGAGAGAAAGAGAGAGAGAGGACCCGCCGGCCGCCGGCCAUUUUUACGUUUUUCCGGCCUAGUUACUGUACACGCGCCGGCCAGCCAGAUUGCCCACCUCAUUUCCGGCAAAACCUCCAAAUUUCACGGCGAACGGCCGCCGGACGCGCCCGGAUCGGACGUCCGAAGUUUGGCGGCGAUUUUUCCCCUCCACCGCCGGCCACCGCGAAUCGGCACUGUUCCGGCCAUUUUCCGGCCACACGCGCCUGACAGCCUUGAUCCUCUCCUCAAGUCCGGCCUACCCACCAAAAAUCACGGCCAUCGGACCACCGACGCGCCGGGAUCGGAGCGUUUUCCGGCGAGGGGUCGAAAAUCUUCAAACGGUGAUUUCUCCGCCGUCCGACCUCCGUUUUGCUCACCGUCGGUCCCGUUGGAUUGCUCUCCUCACGAUCUACAAAUCUGCAAAAUUUCACAGCAAACGGCCACCGUCGGAAAUUACUGUUCCGGCGACGGUUGCCGGUGACGUGGCGGCCCGCCGGAAAUUACUGUUCCGGCGAGUACCCGAAAAUUCCGGCCAGCUCCAGUCCGCAGUGUUCGACCUCCUGAACCCAAAUCCGACUUCCGUUUCCACCAAUUCGCGACGGUUUGGGAGAAUUGCAGAGCCGAAACCCGAAAAGCUUCCCGAUAAAAUUCCGACCCCGUCGGGUACGAUCAUCGGAAAUUAAGACCGGAUCUGUGAUUAGCAUCACUCGAGCUUCGAUUCGGUAUAUAAUUCGUAAAUUUUAGUUAUCGUUUGUGUUUUGACCCCCCGGGUACCGGGUAUUAUUUACCCGAAUAAAAUAUUAAUUUAUUUGACUGUCUGUGAAUUUUGUUCUAGGAGCACCGGUGAGUCGUAGAAUUGAUCCCGUAGUGGAUCAUGGGUUAAUUGCGUGCUCCAGGUUCCAGGUUGUCGGUGUUCAUUCGGAGCGGACUUGAUCUUCCUCGCUGUUUUACUUCGUGAAGUACCCUGUUAUUCUUUUAUUGCAGUUGUAAUAUUUCUUUCACUCUUGUUGUAUUUAUUUUGCACUGGAUUACUGUAUUUAUUUUUUUUAAGUGCUGCAAUUUGUGGAACCAAUUUGUAGUUUGUGGGAGGAAUAAGGGGAUAUUUUUGAAGUGUGUUUUCAGUGCAGGUAAAUUUGUGGUAAGUAAAUCCCUUAGAGGAGGUGCUGCCGGAUUUUCCGUUGGAAGGUUCGGUGGUAUUUCCCUGGGAUCAGGGCUGUCUAGGGUUCCGGAGGAGGAAUUCUGGACGGGUCCUGACAGUUGGUAUCAGAGCUCUAGGUUCUAGUAUUUCGAAGGGACUGUGCAUUGUUGUGCAUCCUAUCCGUGUUUAAUCUCUCGUUUUACCCGUGUGAAAGCUUUCUUUCCGUUUGUCUCGAAGUAAAUUCGUUGCCCGAGUUUGAAUAACUCUAAUCUUCGAGGGUGUCAAUUAGGAUCAUCUAGCCUAACGGGGAAUUCCUAUGGCCUAGUCGAUGGUCGAGGAUGCCUUUUCUUUUUGAAGGUCAAGCUUAUCAUCGUGAAUGGUAUCCGUUUCGUUCAUGGAGAAGAAUGAUGAUUGCCUAAGGAUGUGUGUCGAUCGAUUUCAAGGCGUCAAAAUAUUUUCCCGAUCGAUUAUCAAAAUUUAAAUGCUUUUCAAGGUGUUUUAUUCAAGUAUUUUUGGUUUGUGUUCAUACAUGUAUCUGUAUGUUAUAUUGUUUGAUAUUAUACUGCACCAUAUGGAGGCGGCGAACCAAUGUGGUCCAUGUAGAGCUAGCCCCAUGAUCAUGUUGCCUACGAGCCCGGGAAAUUGGACGGCCAAUAUAGGCAACCACCCUGGUUUGUAUUGGUAGCAGAGUGUCGGCGACAGUUGGAAUCAUGGAUUACGUAACAUGUAGAAGGUGUCGUACGUACCUCCAUUACAAGCGUGCAUAUUUUAUUUUAUGCUAUGGAUUUUAAGAUAUGAAUUUCAAUGUGGAGUUUUAACAAUUGCCUAUGCAAGUUAGGUAUAUUUGAAAAAUAUAUUUUAUUAUUUGUUUAUUGUUAUGGUUUUUCCAAAAGCGACUUAAGGUUAAGUAUCGCCAAUUAAGAAUCCAAAGCAGGGUAUCGUUGAGUUCAAAAAGGAGAUCUUAAAGGAAGCACGUGAUUCAAAGUAUGCGAUACACCCCAAGGGUACCAAGACGUAUGGAAUGCUCACUGGAUGACAUGGUGGUUUGGCACGAUAAAGGAAGUUGCAAGAUCCGAAUAAAGGUACUUAAGUCACCGACAAGUAAAGUAGGGAGAUGUAAACAUGGAUUUCGUGCUUAAACUAUCAUUCACAAAGAGAAGGUACGAUAGCGUUUAGAGAAUCAAGCAAGCUCCGGAUAGCGACUAAAGUUCUACUUGGUGGUUGAUGAGGUUAAUGAGAUGAGGAUGAUUCCUUAGGCAUGGUUGGAUGUUUAAGCAUGGUUAUUUUCAUUCUAGAAGCUAAGAUCUUGAUAUUUUAUUUCCUUGGAGAUUUAAGGUUCGUAUUGAUGGUGCUUCAUCGAUUCAAGGUGGUUGAUAUUGUUGGUGAUAAUUUACAAUGAUAAGGAGUAUGAUUUUUGGGACGGAGUUAGAAUUUAAGAAGUGUGGGUUAAGGAUCUAGUGAUUUGUUCAUAGUAUUGGUGGUGAUGCUAGAAUUAAGAUUUAAAUUUCUUAUUGCUUGAGGUGUGGAUUCAUGGAAUUUAUUUGAAAUGAGGGAAACUUAGGGUUUUCAAGAAUGGUAUUUGGAUGUUGAGAAUUUUAUUCAUGACCUUGAUGAAUUUAGUUAAAAGAAAGAUUGAUGUUUGUCGAGGUUAAGACUAUUGGUUAAUCAAUGAGGAGCAAGGGUUUUAUAAUUGUAAGUACUAGGAGGGUAAUCGAAGACAAGUGAAUUAAUCUCAACCUUAACUUGGUGAUACCAGUAUUUGAGGAAAUUAGACUUAAGUUCUAAUCUUACCUUUUGGAUUGCUGAUCGAGUUACGAGAGUUGGUUGUUGGUUUAAGGAUGCAUGCUUUAGAAGCACCUUAUGGUUAGCGUUCGACUAUGACCAAGACUUGUAGAUCGUGUUCUCGUGGACCAAUUUGACUAUCCUUAAUUAGUGGGCAUGAGAAGGAAAGUUGCACAAGAGGGAAGUUAAAGUCACUAUUAGGCGAAUGUAGUGGCAGAUGCUUUGAGUAGGAAGGCUACUGGAUCCCUUGCUCACAUCCAAGUCAUCCAACUACCUCUCAUGGUGGAGUUGAAGAAGAUGGGGGUGUUAAUGCAUAUGCAUCCUUUAGGAGUUCUCAUGGCUAGCUUCCAGGUACGACCGGUGUUGGUGGAUCGUAUAGUAGAGACCCAAAUGGAAGAUCCUAAGUUGAGGACAAUUAAGGGCAAGGUACAAGAAGGUCUUGAUCCGGAAUUUUCCAUAAGGAGGGAUGGAGCCCUCGUGUAUAAAGGACGACUUUGUGUUCCGGAUAUUCUAGGACUCAAGAAGGAGAUUUUAGAGGAGGCGCAUAGCUCGAUGUAUGCGAUGCAUCCGGGAAGUACCAAGAUGUACCGGACGCUUGUUAAGUAUUAUUGGUGGAUUGGUAUGAAGAGAGAAGUGGCAGACUUCGUAUCAAAGUGUUUGAUUUGUCAACAAGUGAAAGCAGAAAGACAGAAGCCUUCGGGACUACUCCAACCUUUACCGAUUCCCGUGUGGAAGUGGGAAGAACUCAACAUGGACUUCGUAUUCAAGCUUCCUUCCACACCUAGAAGGUACGACGGCAUUUGGGUAAUCAUUGAUCGUCUCACCAAGUCGGCACACUUCCUACCGGUGCGAGAACGUUUUUCACCCGAGAAGUUAGCCCAGUUGUUCGUGCAAGGCAUACGUGGGAUCAGUUCAAGAUGGCCUUUUCUACUGAGUUUUGUCCUCCUGCCUACCGUGAAGCAAGAAGGAGAGAGUUCGAAGAACUACGACAGGGGAACAUGACGGUGACAGAGUACGAGAGGAGAUUCCGAGAACUAUCAGAAUUCUACAUGCACCUAAUUCCCGACGAUCACACGAAGAAGGGAUGCAGCGCUCGAGCUAGAGAGACAGGAGGAGAUACACAGACCCUCAAGGCGCAGAUCUUUCGAAGGUUCGUAUAGCGGAGUACCUCGACAGGGGGCAGCUAAGAAAGGCCAUAGCUCAGGCUCAGACAAUGAUGGGUUAAGCCCACGAGGCAGAUUCCAGAGGAGAGAUAGUUAUCGCAUGCCCCAGCCAGCUCGCCAUUCGAUCAGUGUGGAUGCAAGCUUGUAUCAGCAGUCACGCAUUAGUUCUCCGCGGAUUUGUCCACUUUGUAGGGGGAAUCAUUCUGGGCAGUGUCAGAUGGAUGGUUUAUGCUUUCGGUGUGGGCAGCCAGGCCACAUAAGGAGGGAUUGCCCUUAUGGUAGCAGCAGUGUGCUAGAAGCAGGUCGACGGACACAGCAUACGGGGAUAUUUCCAGGACAGAGUUCCCAGGGGAGUCAGCCAGUAGGAGUUUCUUCGGGAUCAGUACAGCCGUCUGCAGGAUCGAGUCGAGGUAGAGGAAGGAGACCCCAGCAGACAAGUCAAGGCCGGGUGUUUGCUAUGACGCAGCAGGGAGCCAGGACUACGCCCGACGAUUUCACAGAUCAAGGGAUGGAAACAGACCUGAUCCUGUUGGAUCUAUCCGGACUUGAAGUAGUGUUGGGCAUGGAUUGGUUGGCAAGGAACCACUUGGUCGAGGAAGCAACGUGGGAACCCGAAGCACAGAUGCGUGAGCAGUACCCGUAUCUGUUCCAGUGACGUGCGGAAAUUUCGAGGACGAAAUUUUUGUAAGGGGGGAAGGCUGUAACACCCCGUCCCGAAUCGCACCGGAAUCCGUGCACGUUGACCGAGGUUGACUGUUGACCGUUGACCAAAGGGGUCAAAAGUUGACUUUUUGACUCGGUGGGAAUUUCGAGAUGACUAGGGCACCGUGGCGAAGUGCACGAUGCCACGAGUUCGUAGACUGGUAGCACGUCGAAAACGGAGCUACGGUUUGAAAGUUAUGGACGAAACAAGUUGCGGUCCAAACUGUCCAAGGGGUGCCGGAGUUGACUUUUUGUUUAUGGGGAAUUGAGCUUUGACUCAUACAUGGUUGUGAAGUGCUCGUCGAUACGAGUUCACAGACUAGCGGCACGCUCAAAACGGACAUCCGGUUAAAAAGUUAUGGACGUUUGAAGUUUACCGGAUACCGUAUUAUUUUAAUGUUUUUGGGUCGUGAACAGUGAAAUGCCACGUGUCAGCUUCUGAGUGGUCCACGUGGCAUGAACAGUGUCACACAGGGUUUUAAUUUUGAAAAACUCUCGGGGAAGAGAGAGAAAGAGAGAGAAGAGAGAGAAAGAGAGAGAGGAGAGAGAAAGAGAGAGAGAGGACCCGCCGGCCGCCGGCCAUUUUUACGUUUUUCCGGCCUAGUUACUGUACACGCGCCGGCCAGCCAGAUUGCCCACCUCAUUUCCGGCAAAACCUCCAAAUUUCACGGCGAACGGCCGCCGGACGCGCCCGGAUCGGACGUCCGAAGUUUGGCGGCGAUUUUUCCCCUCCACCGCCGGCCACCGCGAAUCGGCACUGUUCCGGCCAUUUUCCGGCCACACGCGCCUGACAGCCUUGAUCCUCUCCUCAAGUCCGGCCUACCCACCAAAAAUCACGGCCAUCGGACCACCGACGCGCCGGGAUCGGAGCGUUUUCCGGCGAGGGGUCGAAAAUCUUCAAACGGUGAUUUCUCCGCCGUCCGACCUCCGUUUUGCUCACCGUCGGUCCCGUUGGAUUGCUCUCCUCACGAUCUACAAAUCUGCAAAAUUUCACAGCAAACGGCCACCGUCGGAAAUUACUGUUCCGGCGACGGUUGCCGGUGACGUGGCGGCCCGCCGGAAAUUACUGUUCCGGCGAGUACCCGAAAAUUCCGGCCAGCUCCAGUCCGCAGUGUUCGACCUCCUGAACCCAAAUCCGACUUCCGUUUCCACCAAUUCGCGACGGUUUGGGAGAAUUGCAGAGCCGAAACCCGAAAAGCUUCCCGAUAAAAUUCCGACCCCGUCGGGUACGAUCAUCGGAAAUUAAGACCGGAUCUGUGAUUAGCAUCACUCGAGCUUCGAUUCGGUAUAUAAUUCGUAAAUUUUAGUUAUCGUUUGUGUUUUGACCCCCCGGGUACCGGGUAUUAUUUACCCGAAUAAAAUAUUAAUUUAUUUGACUGUCUGUGAAUUUUGUUCUAGGAGCACCGGUGAGUCGUAGAAUUGAUCCCGUAGUGGAUCAUGGGUUAAUUGCGUGCUCCAGGUUCCAGGUUGUCGGUGUUCAUUCGGAGCGGACUUGAUCUUCCUCGCUGUUUUACUUCGUGAAGUACCCUGUUAUUCUUUUAUUGCAGUUGUAAUAUUUCUUUCACUCUUGUUGUAUUUAUUUUGCACUGGAUUACUGUAUUUAUUUUUUUUAAGUGCUGCAAUUUGUGGAACCAAUUUGUAGUUUGUGGGAGGAAUAAGGGGAUAUUUUUGAAGUGUGUUUUCAGUGCAGGUAAAUUUGUGGUAAGUAAAUCCCUUAGGGGAGGUGCUGCCGGAUUUUCCGUUGGAAGGUUCGGUGGUAUUUCCCUGGGAUCAGGGCUGUCUAGGGUUCCGGAGGAGGAAUUCUGGACGGGUCCUGACAGUUGGUAUCAGAGCUCUAGGUUCUAGUAUUUCGAAGGGACUGUGCAUUGUUGUGCAUCCUAUCCGUGUUUAAUCUCUCGUUUUACCCGUGUGAAAGCUUUCUUUCCGUUUGUCUCGAAGUAAAUUCGUUGCCCGAGUUUGAAUAACUCUAAUCUUCGAGGGUGUCAAUUAGGAUCAUCUAGCCUAACGGGGAAUUCCUAUGGCCUAGUCGAUGGUCGAGGAUGCCUUUUCUUUUUGAAGGUCAAGCUUAUCAUCGUGAAUGGUAUCCGUUUCGUUCAUGGAGAAGAAUGAUGAUUGCCUAAGGAUGUGUGUCGAUCGAUUUCAAGGCGUCAAAAUAUUUUCCCGAUCGAUUAUCAAAAUUUAAAUGCUUUUCAAGGUGUUUUAUUCAAGUAUUUUUGGUUUGUGUUCAUACAUGUAUCUGUAUGUUAUAUUGUUUGAUAUUAUACUGCACCAUAUGGAGGCGGCGAACCAAUGUGGUCCAUGUAGAGCUAGCCCCAUGAUCAUGUUGCCUACGAGCCCGGGAAAUUGGACGGCCAAUAUAGGCAACCACCCUGGUUUGUAUUGGUAGCAGAGUGUCGGCGACAGUUGGAAUCAUGGAUUACGUAACAUGUAGAAGGUGUCGUACGUACCUCCAUUACAAGCGUGCAUAUUUUAUUUUAUGCUAUGGAUUUUAAGAUAUGAAUUUCAAUGUGGAGUUUUAACAAUUGCCUAUGCAAGUUAGGUAUAUUUGAAAAAUAUAUUUUAUUAUUUGUUUAUUGUUAUGGUUUUUCCAAAAGCGACUUAAGGUUAAGUAUCGCCAAUUAAGAAUCCAAAGCAGGGUAUCGUUGAGUUCAAAAAGGAGAUCUUAAAGGAAGCACGUGAUUCAAAGUAUGCGAUACACCCCAAGGGUACCAAGACGUAUGGAAUGCUCACUGGAUGACAUGGUGGUUUGGCACGAUAAAGGAAGUUGCAAGAUCCGAAUAAAGGUACUUAAGUCACCGACAAGUAAAGUAGGGAGAUGUAAACAUGGAUUUCGUGCUUAAACUAUCAUUCACAAAGAGAAGGUACGAUAGCGUUUAGAGAAUCAAGCAAGCUCCGGAUAGCGACUAAAGUUCUACUUGGUGGUUGAUGAGGUUAAUGAGAUGAGGAUGAUUCCUUAGGCAUGGUUGGAUGUUUAAGCAUGGUUAUUUUCAUUCUAGAAGCUAAGAUCUUGAUAUUUUAUUUCCUUGGAGAUUUAAGGUUCGUAUUGAUGGUGCUUCAUCGAUUCAAGGUGGUUGAUAUUGUUGGUGAUAAUUUACAAUGAUAAGGAGUAUGAUUUUUGGGACGGAGUUAGAAUUUAAGAAGUGUGGGUUAAGGAUCUAGUGAUUUGUUCAUAGUAUUGGUGGUGAUGCUAGAAUUAAGAUUUAAAUUUCUUAUUGCUUGAGGUGUGGAUUCAUGGAAUUUAUUUGAAAUGAGGGAAACUUAGGGUUUUCAAGAAUGGUAUUUGGAUGUUGAGAAUUUUAUUCAUGACCUUGAUGAAUUUAGUUAAAAGAAAGAUUGAUGUUUGUCGAGGUUAAGACUAUUGGUUAAUCAAUGAGGAGCAAGGGUUUUAUAAUUGUAAGUACUAGGAGGGUAAUCGAAGACAAGUGAAUUAAUCUCAACCUUAACUUGGUGAUACCAGUAUUUGAGGAAAUUAGACUUAAGUUCUAAUCUUACCUUUUGGAUUGCUGAUCGAGUUACGAGAGUUGGUUGUUGGUUUAAGGAUGCAUGCUUUAGAAGCACCUUAUGGUUAGCGUUCGACUAUGACCAAGACUUGUAGAUCGUGUUCUCGUGGACCAAUUUGACUAUCCUUAAUUAGUGGGCAUGAGAAGGAAAGUUGCACAAGAGGGAAGUUAAAGUCACUAUUAGGCGAAUGUAGUGGCAGAUGCUUUGAGUAGGAAGGCUACUGGAUCCCUUGCUCACAUCCAAGUCAUCCAACUACCUCUCAUGGUGGAGUUGAAGAAGAUGGGGGUGUUAAUGCAUAUGCAUCCUUUAGGAGUUCUCAUGGCUAGCUUCCAGGUACGACCGGUGUUGGUGGAUCGUAUAGUAGAGACCCAAAUGGAAGAUCCUAAGUUGAGGACAAUUAAGGGCAAGGUACAAGAAGGUCUUGAUCCGGAAUUUUCCAUAAGGAGGGAUGGAGCCCUCGUGUAUAAAGGACGACUUUGUGUUCCGGAUAUUCUAGGACUCAAGAAGGAGAUUUUAGAGGAGGCGCAUAGCUCGAUGUAUGCGAUGCAUCCGGGAAGUACCAAGAUGUACCGGACGCUUGUUAAGUAUUAUUGGUGGAUUGGUAUGAAGAGAGAAGUGGCAGACUUCGUAUCAAAGUGUUUGAUUUGUCAACAAGUGAAAGCAGAAAGACAGAAGCCUUCGGGACUACUCCAACCUUUACCGAUUCCCGUGUGGAAGUGGGAAGAACUCAACAUGGACUUCGUAUUCAAGCUUCCUUCCACACCUAGAAGGUACGACGGCAUUUGGGUAAUCAUUGAUCGUCUCACCAAGUCGGCACACUUCCUACCGGUGCGAGAACGUUUUUCACCCGAGAAGUUAGCCCAGUUGUUCGUGCAAGGCAUACGUGGGAUCAGUUCAAGAUGGCCUUUUCUACUGAGUUUUGUCCUCCUGCCUACCGUGAAGCAAGAAGGAGAGAGUUCGAAGAACUACGACAGGGGAACAUGACGGUGACAGAGUACGAGAGGAGAUUCCGAGAACUAUCAGAAUUCUACAUGCACCUAAUUCCCGACGAUCACACGAAGAAGGGAUGCAGCGCUCGAGCUAGAGAGACAGGAGGAGAUACACAGACCCUCAAGGCGCAGAUCUUUCGAAGGUUCGUAUAGCGGAGUACCUCGACAGGGGGCAGCUAAGAAAGGCCAUAGCUCAGGCUCAGACAAUGAUGGGUUAAGCCCACGAGGCAGAUUCCAGAGGAGAGAUAGUUAUCGCAUGCCCCAGCCAGCUCGCCAUUCGAUCAGUGUGGAUGCAAGCUUGUAUCAGCAGUCACGCAUUAGUUCUCCGCGGAUUUGUCCACUUUGUAGGGGGAAUCAUUCUGGGCAGUGUCAGAUGGAUGGUUUAUGCUUUCGGUGUGGGCAGCCAGGCCACAUAAGGAGGGAUUGCCCUUAUGGUAGCAGCAGUGUGCUAGAAGCAGGUCGACGGACACAGCAUACGGGGAUAUUUCCAGGACAGAGUUCCCAGGGGAGUCAGCCAGUAGGAGUUUCUUCGGGAUCAGUACAGCCGUCUGCAGGAUCGAGUCGAGGUAGAGGAAGGAGACCCCAGCAGACAAGUCAAGGCCGGGUGUUUGCUAUGACGCAGCAGGGAGCCAGGACUACGCCCGACGAUUUCACAGAUCAAGGGAUGGAAACAGACCUGAUCCUGUUGGAUCUAUCCGGACUUGAAGUAGUGUUGGGCAUGGAUUGGUUGGCAAGGAACCACUUGGUCGAGGAAGCAACGUGGGAACCCGAAGCACAGAUGCGUGAGCAGUACCCGUAUCUGUUCCAGUGACGUGCGGAAAUUUCGAGGACGAAAUUUUUGUAAGGGGGGAAGGCUGUAACACCCCGUCCCGAAUCGCACCGGAAUCCGUGCACGUUGACCGAGGUUGACUGUUGACCGUUGACCAAAGGGGUCAAAAGUUGACUUUUUGACUCGGUGGGAAUUUCGAGAUGACUAGGGCACCGUGGCGAAGUGCACGAUGCCACGAGUUCGUAGACUGGUAGCACGUCGAAAACGGAGCUACGGUUUGAAAGUUAUGGACGAAACAAGUUGCGGUCCAAACUGUCCAAGGGGUGCCGGAGUUGACUUUUUGUUUAUGGGGAAUUGAGCUUUGACUCAUACAUGGUUGUGAAGUGCUCGUCGAUACGAGUUCACAGACUAGCGGCACGCUCAAAACGGACAUCCGGUUAAAAAGUUAUGGACGUUUGAAGUUUACCGGAUACCGUAUUAUUUUAAUGUUUUUGGGUCGUGAACAGUGAAAUGCCACGUGUCAGCUUCUGAGUGGUCCACGUGGCAUGAACAGUGUCACACAGGGUUUUAAUUUUGAAAAACUCUCGGGGAAGAGAGAGAAAGAGAGAGAAGAGAGAGAAAGAGAGAGAGGAGAGAGAAAGAGAGAGAGAGGACCCGCCGGCCGCCGGCCAUUUUUACGUUUUUCCGGCCUAGUUACUGUACACGCGCCGGCCAGCCAGAUUGCCCACCUCAUUUCCGGCAAAACCUCCAAAUUUCACGGCGAACGGCCGCCGGACGCGCCCGGAUCGGACGUCCGAAGUUUGGCGGCGAUUUUUCCCCUCCACCGCCGGCCACCGCGAAUCGGCACUGUUCCGGCCAUUUUCCGGCCACACGCGCCUGACAGCCUUGAUCCUCUCCUCAAGUCCGGCCUACCCACCAAAAAUCACGGCCAUCGGACCACCGACGCGCCGGGAUCGGAGCGUUUUCCGGCGAGGGGUCGAAAAUCUUCAAACGGUGAUUUCUCCGCCGUCCGACCUCCGUUUUGCUCACCGUCGGUCCCGUUGGAUUGCUCUCCUCACGAUCUACAAAUCUGCAAAAUUUCACAGCAAACGGCCACCGUCGGAAAUUACUGUUCCGGCGACGGUUGCCGGUGACGUGGCGGCCCGCCGGAAAUUACUGUUCCGGCGAGUACCCGAAAAUUCCGGCCAGCUCCAGUCCGCAGUGUUCGACCUCCUGAACCCAAAUCCGACUUCCGUUUCCACCAAUUCGCGACGGUUUGGGAGAAUUGCAGAGCCGAAACCCGAAAAGCUUCCCGAUAAAAUUCCGACCCCGUCGGGUACGAUCAUCGGAAAUUAAGACCGGAUCUGUGAUUAGCAUCACUCGAGCUUCGAUUCGGAGCACCGGUGAGUCGUAGAAUUGAUCCCGUAGUGGAUCAUGGGUUAAUUGCGUGCUCCAGGUUCCAGGUUGUCGGUGUUCAUUCGGAGCGGACUUGAUCUUCCUCGCUGUUUUACUUCGUGAAGUACCCUGUUAUUCUUUUAUUGCAGUUUAAGUUGUACCAUGAAAGUCCAAGGCUUAUAUGCGUACUAUAUACAGCUCCAACAUAUGGUCCAUGUAGGACUUUGAAGCCAAUUCUUAGUAAGGUGAUUGACAAGUUUGAUCAAAAUGUACAUUUUGUUGAAACUGAUAUUGAGGAAAAUCCAGAAAUAGCAGAAGCAGCUGGUAUUAUGGUAUACCAUGUUUUCAAUUUUUCAAAAACAAGGAAAAUUUGAGGUUGUUUUUCUUCUAUACUCCUGGUGCUGGUCCAACUGUCAAAUCUGGUUCAAAGGGAAAGCGCCAUUGUUUGAUACUGACUAAAACCCUUGAGUGGACCUUAAAUUGAUGCAUACUACAGAGCAUGUUUGAUAGAACCCAGUGGAGUUGGAAGGUUUGAAAAAAGCAAACAUUCGAGAUGGCGUCGCAGUGGUGCAAUAUCUUGUCUGGUUGGAUAAGUAGAUGGAGGGAGACGAAGUGACUAAGAAAAAACAAUUGCAAACACUUAAACUGACAGAGGUGACUGCAAGCGAUAAGCUGGAGAGUUUUCGUGCAGUAAAAAAGGUCCUCAAGGAUCAUAUUGCACUUGGGAAUGCUCAAUUUCCUAAUGGAACCAACGGUAAUGCCCUAGACAUUCUUGCUUGAGUUCCACUAUAGAAAAAUGGUAUUGAUUAUCGGCAUGGUACAGGCCACGGAAUUGGGUCUUACCUUAAUGUUCAUGAAGGCAAGUGUGUUUUACUACUUUCCUCUAUUAUUACUGGGUAUCAAAUCGAUCUCUGUUAUAGUGGAGGUGCCCCGUAUGCUUUGAAUGCUGUCACUAAAGUUUGGCAUUAUACCAAUUGUGGUGCCAGUUGGUGUUCGAGAUUUUGACAUUGAUGUGGAACUUUGGGUCAAAUUAGAAUUGAUACCAAUAGAUCCUUUUGUAGGAGUUGUAAUAUUCUCUAAAUUUUAUUCAUAAAACACUUGUACAUUUUUCUCUUGCUAAUUCAGGUUUAGUUUUUAGUUUUUCUACAUGAUUCUCAUGUCAAGAUGAAGUGUAAGGAUCCAAUUUCAUUAUUAAAUUCUCCAUAUUGUUUGAGAUGUUGAAAAGUAAGAAAUAAGAAGGAUGAGAAUUUAAAUGGA